GCAGUCGAAUGGGUUUAGACCCAUGGCAAACGGGUUCAGAUAACAUAGGAAUCUACCCUCGAGUCGCGAAUAAUCCGGAGAAAUCCGGAAUAAUACGCGAUGCCCUCUACGGAGGAAUGAUUUAUCGCUCGAGGAGGAGCCUGUGUCCUAUCAGCUUGUUGGUGAGGUAAUGGCUCACCAAGGCUAUGACGGGUAGGGGGUGUGAGAGCACGGCCCCCAACAUUGGAACUGAGACACUGUCCAAACACCUACGGGUGGCUGCAGUCGAGAAUAUUCCACAAUGGACGAAAGUCUGAUGGAGCGACGCCGCGUGCGGGAUGAAGGCCUUCGGGUUGUAAACCGCUUUUCUACGGGAAGAAUUACGAUGACGGUACCGUAGGAAUAAGAGGUUACUAACUCUGUGCCAGCAGUAGCGGUAAUACAGAGACCUCAAGCGUUAUCCGGAUUUAUUGGGCGUAAAGCGUAAGUAGGCGGGCAUGUUAGUCGGGCGUCAAAGCUCGGGGCUCAACCCCGAAAAGGCGUCCGAAACGGCAUGUCUAGAGAGUGUGAGAGAUCGAUGGAAUUCAUGGUGUAGUAGUGAAAUGCGUUGAUAUCAUGAGGAACACCCAAGGCGUAGGCAAUCGAUUGGCACAUUUCUGACGCUCAGUUACGAAAGCGUGGGUAGCGAAUGGGAUUAGAUACCCCAGUAGUCCACGCCCUAAACGAUGCAUACUAGGUGUGGGGAGAAUCGACCCUCUCUGUGCCGUAGCUAACGCGUUAAGUAUGCCGCC
rnacentral:rRNA from 1 species